rnacentral:rRNA from 1 species
UACGGGGGGGGUAAGCGUUGUUCGGAAUUACUGGGCGUAAAGGGCUCGUAGGCGGCCAACUAAGUCGGACGUGAAAUCCCUCAGCUUAACUGGGGAACUGCGUCCGAUACUGGAUGGCUUGGAUUUGGGAGAGGGAUGCGGAAUUCCAGGUGUAGCGGUGAAAUGCGUAGAUAUCGAGAGGAACACCUGCGGCGAAGGCGGGUUGCUGGGCUGAUACUGACGCUGAGGCGCGAAAGCGUGGGGAGCAAACAGG